rnacentral:rRNA from 1 species
GAUGAACGCUGGCGGCGUGCCUAAUACAUGCAAGUCGAGCGAACGGACGAGAAGCUUGCUUCUCUGAUGUUAGCGGCGGACGGGUGAGUAACACGUGGAUAACCUACCUAUAAGACUGGGAUAACUUCGGGAAACCGGAGCUAAUACCGGAUAAUAUUUUGAACCGCAUGGUUCAAAAGUGAAAGACGGUCUUGCUGUCACUUAUAGAUGGAUCCGCGCUGCAUUAGCUAGUUGGUAAGGUAACGGCUUACCAAGGCAACGAUGCAUAGCCGACCUGAGAGGGUGAUCGGCCACACUGGAACUGAGACACGGUCCAGACUCCUACGGGAGGCAGCAGUAGGGAAUCUUCCGCAAUGGGCGAAAGCCUGACGGAGCAACGCCGCGUGAGUGAUGAAGGUCUUCGGAUCGUAAAACUCUGUUAUUAGGGAAGAACAUAUGUGUAAGUAACUGUGCACAUCUUGACGGUACCUAAUCAGAAAGCCACGGCUAACUACGUGCCAGCAGCCGCGGUAAUACGUAGGUGGCAAGCGUUAUCCGGAAUUAUUGGGCGUAAAGCGCGCGUAGGCGGUUUUUUAAGUCUGAUGUGAAAGCCCACGGCUCAACCGUGGAGGGUCAUUGGAAACUGGAAAACUUGAGUGCAGAAGAGGAAAGUGGAAUUCCAUGUGUAGCGGUGAAAUGCGCAGAGAUAUGGAGGAACACCAGUGGCGAAGGCGACUUUCUGGUCUGUAACUGACGCUGAUGUGCGAAAGCGUGGGGAUCAAACAGGAUUAGAUACCCUGGUAGUCCACGCCGUAAACGAUGAGUGCUAAGUGUUAGGGGGUUUCCGCCCCUUAGUGCUGCAGCUAACGCAUUAAGCACUCCGCCUGGGGAGUACGACCGCAAGGUUGAAACUCAAAGGAAUUGACGGGGACCCGCACAAGCGGUGGAGCAUGUGGUUUAAUUCGAAGCAACGCGAAGAACCUUACCAAAUCUUGACAUCCUUUGACAACUCUAGAGAUAGAGCCUUCCCCUUCGGGGGACAAAGUGACAGGUGGUGCAUGGUUGUCGUCAGCUCGUGUCGUGAGAUGUUGGGCUAAGUCCCGCAACGAGCGCAACCCUUAAGCUUAGUUGCCAUCAUUAAGUUGGGCACUCUAAGUUGACUGCCGGUGACAAACCGGAGGAAGGUGGGGAUGACGUCAAAUCAUCAUGCCCCUUAUGAUUUGGGCUACACACGUGCUACAAUGGACAAUACAAAGGGCAGCGAAACCGCGAGGUCAAGCAAAUCCCAUAAAGUUGUUCUCAGUUCGGAUUGUAGUCUGCAACUCGACUACAUGAAGCUGGAAUCGCUAGUAAUCGUAGAUCAGCAUGCUACGGUGAAUACGUUCCCGGGUCU